CCUACGGGGGACUGCAGUGAGGAAUAUUGGUCAAUGGACGAGAGUCUGAACCAGCCAAGUAGCGUGAAGGAUGACUGCCCUAUGGGUUGUAAACUUCUUUUAUAUGGGAAUAAAAUGUUCCACGUGUGGGAUUUUGUAUGUACCAUAUGAAUAAGGAUCGGCUAACUCCGUGCCAGCAGCCGCGGUAAUACGGAGGAUCCGAGCGUUAUCCGGAUUUAUUGGGUUUAAAGGGAGCGUAGGUGGAUUUUUAAGUCAGUUGUGAAAGUUUGCGGCUCAACCGUAAAAUUGCAGUUGAAACUGGCAGUCUUGAGUACAGGAGAGGUGGGCGGAAUUCGUGGUGUAGCGGUGAAAUGCUUAGAUAUCACGAAGAACUCCGAUUGCGAAGGCAGUUCACUGGACUGCAACUGACACUGAGGCUCGAAAGUGUGGGUAUCAAACAGGAUUAGAUACCCUUGUAGUC
rnacentral:rRNA from 1 species